CUCAGGACCUUUCGCUUGUGAGGCAGCUUUGGUGCCUCUGAGCUAAAUCCCCAGCCCUAGCUCAUUAUAUUUUUGAUCAGCCCUCAUAAAGACACUUAUGAAAGAGAAUGUCUAGAACUGCUUCAGAAAGUGGCAAGAACAAUGGAAUAAAUAAAUAUGUUUGAUGCUAGGAGGAAUACUUGCAAGGGGUUUAGUGGCACUAUGUCUUUUACUGUAAUUAAAUUAAUAACAUUCACUGUAUAUUUUGAUCACAUCAUAUAUAAGCGAUUACUAUUCAAAACUCAGGCGUUCCUAGAAUAAGUGAUAUCAGCCAAAUCUCAUACUCUCAUUUAUUUCUCCCCAGUUUUUUCUAUUUCUUUAAAACAAGCUUUGUGUGUGUGUGCCUACAAACUAAGGGGGAGCACGGUUGACUGUCCUAUACAUAGUCCUUUACUCCUAACAUUCACAGCACACUCAUCUUUUCCACCCUUUGUCAAAUCAAAUCUGUAGGACAAACUGGAUCCCAUUUACAAUAAUGUCCCCACGUGACACCUUCCCAACUCAUUACUUUGUUGGUAUCCAUUUAAAAUGUUUGUGCCUUUACUUUCAUAAUAAACAUGGAAGGUCACCUUCCAUAUCUAUCUCAUCCCCUCUCUCUUCCUGCCCUCCCCAGUCCUUCAAUCAACCAUUUUUAUUUUCCUUUCUUUUUUUUUUUUUUUUUGUACUGGGAUCGAACUUGGGACCUUGUGUUUGCAAGGCAACUACAGUGCCACUGAGCUAAAACUCCAGCCCUUUAUUUUCCUUUCUGAUAGAUUAGUUUGCAUUCUCUAGAACUUUGUAUGAUUUAUAUCUUGAGUUUUUAGUAUGUUUACCCCUAUGUUCCCUCAUGUGGCAUGCUUAUUUUGAGGUUGAGCAAUGUUACUUGCAUAAGUAGUUCAUUCUCUUUAUACUACUGGAGUGUAUUCUGUUCUAAAAGUAUGCCACUAUGGGUUGAGCAUCCUUUAUAUCCAAGAUAUUGUGGCUAAAAGUAUUUCAAGUUUCAGUUCUGGGGAUUUUGGAAUAUUUGCAUCGACUUUAUUAGCUAAGUAUCAUAACAAUAAAAAAUGCUCAGAUUUCAAAUUUUUAGAUUAGGGGGAUGCUCAACCUCUGUGUGUAUUCAUCUAUAUUUAUGGACAUUUAACUUGUUUCUCAUUUUUUUGGCUACUGCAAGUAACACUGCUACAGAAAUAUAAAUACCAAAAUUUAAAAGAAAAACAAUGAAAACGACAGAAAAGGGAUGAAAGUACGUGAGUGCAGUAAAUCAUCUUGAAGC
rnacentral:lncRNA from 1 species